UCGGAGUUUGGGCCUGUCACGACUUCUG
rnacentral:sRNA from 1 species